rnacentral:rRNA from 1 species
UACAGAGGGGGCGAGCGUUGUUCGGAAUUACUGGGCGUAAAGGGCGCGUAGGCGGCCCGCUAAGUCGAACGUGAAAUCCCCAGGCUCAACCUGGGAACUGCGUCCGAUACUGGCAGGCUUGAAUCCGGGAGAGGGAUGUGGAAUUCCAGGUGUAGCGGUGAAAUGCGUAGAUAUCUGGAGGAACACCGGUGGCGAAGGCGACAUCCUGGACCGGUAUUGACGCUGAGGCGCGAAAGCGUGGGGAGCGAACAGG